rnacentral:rRNA from 1 species
UCCUACGGGAGGCAGCAGUGGGGAAUAUUGCACAAUGGGCGCAAGCCUGAUGCAGCAACGCCGCGUGAGGGACGAAGGCCUUCGGGUUGUAAACCUCUUUUAGUAGGGAAGAAGCGACUGGGUUUUCCUGGGAGUGACGGUACCUGCAGAAAAAGCACCGGCCAACUACGUGCCAGCAGCCGCGGUAAUACGUAGGGUGCAAGCGUUGUCCGGAAUUAUUGGGCGUAAAGAGCUCGUAGGCGGUUUGUCGCGUCUGCUGUGAGAACCCGAGGCUCAACCUCGGGCCUGCAGUGGGUACGGGCAGACUAGAGUGCGGUGGGGGAGAUUGGAAUUCCUGGUGUAGCGGUGGAAUGCGCAGAUAUCAGGAGGAACACCAAUGGCGAAGGCAGAUCUCUGGGCCGUAGCUGACGCUGAGGAGCGAAAGCAUGGGGAGCGAACAGGAUUAGAUACCCUGGUAGUCCAUGCCGUAAACGUUGGGAACUAGAUGUGGGGACCAUUCCACGGUCUCCGUGUCGCAGCUAACGCAUUAAGUUCCCCGCCUGGGGAGUACGGCCGCAAGGCUAAAACUCAAAGGAAUUGACGGGGGCCCGCACAAGCGGCGGAGCAUGCGGAUUAAUUCGAUGCAACGCGAAGAACCUUACCAAGGCUUGACAUAUACCGGAAACGGCUGGAAACAGUCACCCCGCAAGGUCGGUAUACAGGUGGUGCAUGGUCGUCGUCAGCUCGUGUCGUGAGAUGUUGGGUUAAGUCCCGCAACGAGCGCAACCCUCGUCCUAUGUUGCCAGCACGUAAUGGUGGGAACUCAUGGGAUACUGCCGGGGUCAACUCGGAGGAAGGUGGGGAUGACGUCAAAUCAUCAUGCCCCUUAUGUCUUGGGCUUCACGCAUGCUACAAUGGCCGGUACAAAGGGCUGCGAUACCGCAAGGUGGAGCGAACCCCAAAAAGCCGGUCUCAGUUCGGAUUGAGGUCUGCAACUCGACCUCAUGAAGUCGGAGUCGCUAGUAAUCGCAGAUCAGCAACGCUGCGGUGAAUACGUUCCCGGGCCUUGUACACACCGCC